UUACUAGAGUAGCACUCGCAUAUCAAUAAGCGGAGGAAAAGAAACUAACAAGGAUUCCCCUAGUAACGGCGAGUGAAGCGGGAAGAGCUCAAAUUUGAAAUCUUAAAGGGUUUCCCUUUACGAAUUGUAGUUUAAAGAAGUGUUUUCUGUUGAGGUUUUGGUAAAAGUUCUUUGGAAUAGGACAUCAUAGAGGGUGAGAAUCCCGUAUUUGACCUUUACUUUCAACUUUGUGAUACACUUUCAAAGAGUCGGAUUGUUUGGGAAUGCAGUCCAAAAUGGGUGGUAAAUUUCAUCUAAAGCUAAAUAUUGGCGAGAGACCGAUAGCGAACAAGUACCGUGAGGGAAAGAUGAAAAGAACUUUGAAAAGAGAGUUAAACAGUACGUGAAAUUGUCAAAAGGGAAGCGUUUGACACCAGUGUUGUUUUUCUGAAAAUCAAUUAAAGAACUGUUUAUGCUAAGUUGUUUAGACUUUAUCAGCUAUCUGUUUAGUUUUGAGCUUUUCUUUAAUGCACUUUUCAGUUAACAAGUCAACAUCAAUUUCUUUUGCUGUUAAAAAGCUUGAGGAAGGUGGCUUGAGAUUCGUCUUAAGUGUUUAUAGCCUCUUGCCUAUGCAGUCGGAGAGAUUGAGGUCUGCAGCGUAGAUCCUUCGGGGCUAAAUGCAUUUGUGCUAAGUUAUAGCAUUUUAUAGACAACUUGUUGACUAUGAUUUGUCUUGUAGCUUACUCGCUUAUGUUAUUUUACCUACGCUUAGGAUGUUGAGCGCAUGUCUCUCUCU
rnacentral:rRNA from 1 species